rnacentral:misc_RNA from 1 species
UACCUGCGUGCAGCUCAAGUGGCUUUCUCCGCCAACCCCGGACCACUUGCUUCGGGGCCCGUGGCUGUGAGUGAGCUCCUCAGCUGACAAACGCCAAGUGUUCACACGCUCACUCACAGCGAGCGAAGACGGUUUCUUUCUGUGCAUCGGCUCUGUUUGUCCCUCUUCUUGCGGCCGAUCGGCUUCACCGCCGAGCAGCGUCAGCAUUUGUGCUGGCAUUCAUCGCGCUAUGUGACAUGCAGGCAUGCGUCCAUCUGUGUUGGGCAACAUCGCUGCCAGGGCUUCACGCCUAUUCACCAGAUGCGCGGCCCCGUGUCCAGACUCUUUUCCAUUGUCUCCUCAGCCGUCGCUAACGUCGUCCACGUCGUCGUACCUGUCGGAACUCGUGAGCUGCACUCGCUCUCUUGUCGCGCUCACUCAGCCCUGCGGCAGUGGCGCCGUCGACGCACACCUGCAGCGGUGCGUGCGCGAGUGCACCGAUGCCACUCUCGACGCGCUCUCUUCAUUGCCGCCCAGGGCCCACGUGCCGGCCGAUGUGUGCGUCGUGCUGCUCAUCAUCCUUCGUGCCUCCGCCCAGUUCUGGCAGGAGGACAGAUGUGCUGCCUUGGCACAGCAGUUGGCGGAGCAUGUGGAUGCCAUGGCGCUGCGGACGUGGCGGCCUCGCGUGUUGGUGGCGACCGUGCAUGCGUUCGCCAAAGCGUGCCCCUCGCAGGCUCAGUCGCCCCUCGUAACGGACUGCUUCGUGCGGCUGCAGCACUGUGAGGCGCAGCUCACAGAGUACGAUGUGGCGACCGUUCUGUGGUGCCUUGCGACACUGCAAGCCGGUGAGAGCCAGCUGCGAUUGUGGAGCUCCCUCUGCAAGCGCGCCGCACUGUUGUUCUCGCGCAUGAACCGCGUAAGCCGCCUCACCGUGAUGCAAGCCCUGCUGCUGCAGUCUUCCCACCUAUGUGAGUCGCAAGCUGAGCUGCUUCGCGUCGCACAUGCAGCGAACAGGGAAUCGGCGGAGCUCACGUCACUCGACGACUGUUGGCAUGAAGGCGGAUGGCGGCACCCUGCACGUGGUCCCCGUCGCACUAGAUCACGUAAUUCGGAAUCCUCUCUCUCCUCCUCCACACCAGGCAGCACGGGCUCGACCUCGCAGCUGCUCCAGUAUACUACGCACGCACUCUCUGACGAGUCGCUGGUGCGGUUGCUCAUUACACUUUCUGAGAGAAGCGCGGGGGCAACCGAGGAGCUGCGCCUGGUCGUAGCACAUCUCAUGCUGCGCGGCUCCCUGUCCGAUCGACUCUGCCUACAGUUGCUGCGGUUUACCCAGCCACAGUGCACGACCGUUUCAGUACACAUAACGGGCCAGGCAGAGCAGCGGCCGGGGGAACACGCGUCUUCGACAGCGCAGCAUGCAGAGAUGUCGGUGCUGCUCCGUAAGGCACGACGACACGCAGUACGGCAACUGAUUUGUGUCUUGCGCAGUGGGGUAGCGCCGCCGCCACGUGACAUCAUUGAGGCGCUUUGCGUAGAGCACUGUAGUCUGUGCGCGGGACGAGCAUCCGAAGGCCAGCCGAGACCAGGCGACGCCGUCGACGCAGAGUCUGUGGAGUCUGUCUGGGCUGCCAUUGUGAGGCUCUUCUGCGGCACGUCAGCAGACUUCGCGCGCGCUUUCCGUUUUGGCAGCGGCGAGGAGCUGUGGGGCUGGCACUGCAUCACCGCGUACUUGAGGGCAGUGAGCCCGGCAAGCGGUGACCUGACUUGUGAUGCGCCAGCGUCGCUGGGCACCACCCUCAGUGCACUGGAGCAGCAGCUCAUCUCCGCCACGCACCCGUCGCGCUACUGGCCCAACACCCGAGAGCGUAAGACGAGGUGCGCCGAGGUAGUGGUAGCCGCUACGCACUGUGCGGGAACGCAGUUGCUAACCUACUGCGCCACGACAACUUCGCCCUAUGACACCGCCCUCGCGCUGCUCGGCGAGUGUGUGCGAGAACUUGCGACACCGCAGGCGGCUCUCCCUGUUCCAAACACGCUGAGGCUGCUCUCUGCCGUGGACGAGGCGCCCACGGUCGUUGCCGCACUCGUGCAGCCGCUGAAGCCGUUUCUCUUGGCGCAGCUGGAGACACACACGGGCCGUCCCUCUGGCAUGUUGCCAGAUCUAAUUCAGUACCUCACAAGCAUCCUCGCUCGUCCGCUGGCGGCGUGGCAGGCACCGUCGCGCGUGCGCGUCUCGGACGCUGUGCUGGACCUGUAUCUUCGCGUACUGCUCCAAGAGCAGCAGCAAACUCUCUCUGCUGUGCAGUCGGAGCUGCUGGUACGCUGCUUGCAAGAGCGCCGAACGAUCGCAGAGGAGCUGGAGAACGCCUUCAUGAUGCUUCUGACUCGCCGCCUCGGGCAGACGGCAUCUUUUCUGAACACUGUACGACUGCCGAUCGCUGCUCUGAGUGGGCUUGUGGAGCUUGCCGGGACCUUGCCGCGCUGCAAGGCCGCAUCCACCACCGCGACGGCCACCAUGAUCAUCAGCACCCUCCUGGACUUACUCAUUCAACAGGCCAUUCCAGCGUGCACUACAGCAGAGGAGCUUAUAGCUGGUGCCAUCGCGUUGCGCGACGAUGCCGUGGCAGACCUGCAGAGAACGUCCGCCAUGGCAGCGGCAGUGCAGGCAAGGGGCUUUUCGCUGCUCACGUCCACCGAGGUGACAUGGACACCAGUUCAGAAGGCGUACCUUAUUGCCGCCCUCGUGUGCGUGAAUGUGGACCCGACGCCAGAGCUCUUGCAAGCACUGCGCAGGGAUCACCACACGCAGGCAAGGGGAGCGUUGAAAUCCACGAACUAAAAAAUGCGCAGUAUGUGCGCGCGUUCAUGCAACGCUGUGCGUCUGCGCGUGAGAGUGCGCAUCGCGGGCUUCUGCGGUGGGAGCGCCGCCCCCUUUUCUUUUCGUGUGUGUGUGUGCGUGUAUGUGCGGAGGGUUUGCUUUGCGCGUACGCGCUGCGUCGUGCUGCGGAC